GGGUGGGUAGAAAAUUGGGCGCCCAGCCGACGCCCAACUUCGCUGGAUCCCUUCCUUCCGGCGUCAAUCCGCCGGAGCCCGCGAGGUCUGUCGCCUGCGGCGUGCGCUCUGCCCGGAGCCCCCUUGCCUACACCUGCCGGGAGUGGGAGGACUGCACGGGGGCCAAAUCUUUCUUCUGGGGAAACAGGACCACCAGGGAGGGGCUCAGGGACCCCGAGGCAAAGGAGGUGAAGGGCCGGCCGAGUAGAGAGUGUGUGGGGGGGGGGGCGGUCCUAACUUCCAUCGCCCCGCGUGCUGGAGCCUGUCCCCCAGUUUCUACCUGCAGGUGUUUCCUGGCCGCCAGUGACAUGGGCAGUUUCAUGGACGACCGCCCACCCGUAGACCCUGCUGGGCCGCAAGGCCUCCUCCUUAUGCGCCCAAACAAAGAAAUAAAAUGCUGUGUGACGUUUUGGAACGAGUCCGGUCCCUAAUGGUUCCGUGGUUAACUGUGGAACUUGAGCCCUGAAAGCCAGAAGCCCACAAUCAAGUUAUGUCUACCUGGAACCUCAGAAGGUGACCUUAUUGGAAAAAGGUCAUGCACAUGAAGGAAGACUCACAAGAGACAGAAGAGGAGAAAGUCAUGUGAAGCUGGAAGCAGAGAUUGGAGUGAUGUGUCUACAAGCCAAGGAUUUGCCUUAGAAACAACCGCCAGAAGCUGGGAGAGAGGCAUGGAACGAUUUUCCCUCCGGGCCUUCAAAAGGAGUCAACCCUGCGGACACCUGGAUUUCAGAACGUUGGCCUCCUGAAGUGUGGGAUAAUAAAUGUUGUUUUAAGCCAUCCAGCUUGUGGUACUUUGUAAAGGCCACCCUAGGAAACUUACACAGUGUCAUUCACAGACUUCUCCAUUGCUCUCUUUAAUUCUAUCACUUCUUUCUCGCUCAUUUUUCUUCCCCUGUCAUUUUUUCUGUGCCUGGCCUCUUCGCCUCAAUUUUUCUUUUUGUUACCCAUGCCAUUGCACUUGAAAUCAUGCCAACCAGACGGUAUAA